rnacentral:rRNA from 1 species
GAUGAACGCUGGCGGCGUGCCUAAUACAUGCAAGUCGAGCGAACAGACGAGGAGCUUGCUCCUCUGACGUUAGCGGCGGACGGGUGAGUAACACGUGGAUAACCUACCUAUAAGACUGGGAUAACUUCGGGAAACCGGAGCUAAUACCGGAUAAUAUAUUGAACCGCAUGGUUCAUUAGUGAAAGACGGUUUUGCUGUCACUUAUAGAUGGAUCCGCGCCGCAUUAGCUAGUUGGUAAGGUAACGGCUUACCAAGGCAACGAUGCGUAGCCGACCUGAGAGGGUGAUCGGCGACACUGGAACUGAGACACGGUCCAGAGUCCUACGGGAGGCAGCAGUAGGGAAUCUUCCGCAAUGGGCGAAAGCCUGACGGAGCAACGCCGCGUGAGUGAUGAAGGUCUUCGGAUCGUAAAACUCUGUUAUUAGGGAAGAACAAAUGUGUAAGUAACUAUGCACGUCUUGACGGUACCUAAUCAGAAAGCCACGGCUAACUACGUG